UACGAAGGGGGCUAGCGUUGCUCGGAAUUACUGGGCGUAAAGGGCGCGUAGGCGGACAUUUAAGUCAGGGGUGAAAUCCCGGGGCUCAACCUCGGAAUUGCCUUUGAUACUGGGUGUCUUGAGUAUGAGAGAGGUAUGUGGAGCUCCGAGUGUAGAGGUGAAAUUCGUAGAUAUUCGGAAGAACACCAGUGGCGAAGGCGACAUACUGGCUCAUUACUGACGCUGAGGCGCGAAAGCGUGGGGAGCAAACAGG
rnacentral:rRNA from 1 species